UUUCCCUCAAGCCAAGCGUAACAUGGAACUUACUCUGAACCCUGAAGAGGGAAGGAGCAAGGAGCAGACAGCUACUUACACGGGAGGAUCUAUCUCAUCAGGUAGAUGCCACGUGGACCAGACUUUGCUUCCAGGCUUUUGUGACAUUGUGAGGUUUAAGGAGAGCAGUGCUGGAAAGGAAUAGAAGUGAACAGGAAAGUGCAUCAGCUCUGAAAACAAUCCCAAGUUAAAGGAUCCGAGAGUUCAAAGUUCGAGAGCAACUCCCUCAAGGAAGGUGGGCACAAACUAUUGUCUACAAUGCGGACCAAAAAGACUCGUUUGCAAACAAGAGCGUUUUCUUUAAAAAAAAAAAAGUGAAAGAAAGAUGUUAAAACUAGGUCAGAUUAUUGUCUAAAGUUUUCUAUUUAGGGACAAAUAUCAAAUGAUGAGAUUUUUCCCUCUACAAACCAUUUGUGUUUUGAAAUCCAUCUUUUUCUCUUUAUUUCACUUAUUUUGUAAUCUCUGCUAGAUACUUAUAUGUAGGAAGACGUGAAACUUCAACAAGAGUGCAAACGGAGGAGGAAUGAUAUUAGGUUCCUGCGCUGGGGAGCAGUUUCUGUGAGAUGUGGAGCCCGAGGGACUGAGCGGGUAACCGGGGGGAGGGGGCAGUUGGGAAAAGCAGCCCUGUGCUGCCCUCAGCUCUGGGAGUGAGCUACACCAGGUGGUCACUGAGCUGUCUGUCUGCUCACCAAAACUUGCUUUUCUAACUAACUACAAUGUAAACAAGAACCCCUGAGGCCCCACCGCUUACGUGCUGGGAGCCGGCGAUCCCUGGAGUUCCUUGCACAGCUCAAACGCCGUAUCAUUCAACUCUUUGAAUCCAUUUUUGAAGUGUCUUAUUUUCCUUUAGUGAUUAUUGCCUUAAAUAACCACGUAGGAGAAAGAUUUUAAUUUUAGCGUCUCGGUUCUGUGGAACCUUAUUUAUAACCCCAGACCAGUUCCGUUUUUACGUUUCUAAAAACUGAGAUAAGAAACAUCUGAUCCUUCGCAGAGAACAGCAAGUAUUCCAUUUGGUUGUUUAAGAGCUGGUUUAAAAGGUCCGUCAUAACACAUUUUCAAUAAAAUAUUUAUAAAUGAAAACA
rnacentral:lncRNA from 1 species